GCCUGGGUGGCUCAGUCGGUUAAGCGUCCGACUUCAGCUUGGGUCAUGAUCUCAUGGUCUGUGAGUUCAAGCCCCACAUCAGGCU
rnacentral:tRNA from 1 species